UACAGAGACUGCAAGCGUUAUUCGGAUUCACUGGGCGUAAAGGGUGCGCAGGCGGUUGGGUGUGUCAGACGUGAAAUCCCUCGGCUUAACCGGGGAACUGCGUCUGAUACUGGAUGGCUUGAGUUUGGGAGAGGGAUGCGGAAUUCCAGGUGUAGCGGUGAAAUGCGUAGAUAUCUGGAGGAACACCGGUGGCGAAGGCGGCAUCCUGGACCAACACUGACGCUGAGUGAGCGAAAGCCAGGGGAGCAAACGGG
rnacentral:rRNA from 1 species